GGGGGCGACAUGGCUUCGACUCUUCAGGGGUUGUGCCUGUGGCAAGCCGAGGAAUGGGCUGGUUGGCCUCGUAAAAUCCACCGGUCCGAACAUUGACUGCCAAUCAAGAACUGGCACUCGCAGCCUAAAUCGGCUGUGACGUUGUCCUCCUGACACCCGCUGGGGGGAGACAACGCGUUUAGCGGGACGGACGUGGAGGUGAGCGACCGACCUUUGCGGACGAACCAACGUGGUGGCUACGGUACCGGGGCGUGCGUGCGCGCAACCCGGCGCCCGACAAUCAAGCGCACGCUAAGCUUGUAGAGGCAGGUGCGGUUCCGGAUGAGGACCCGGGUUCGAUCCCCGGCGCCUCCAUGA
rnacentral:tmRNA from 1 species